UGCAGUCGAACGGUAACAUUUCUAGCUUGCUAGAAGAUGACGAGUGGCGGACGGGUGAGUAAUGCUUGGGAACUUGCCUUUGCGAGGGGGAUAACAGUUGGAAACGACUGCUAAUACCGCAUAAUGUCUUCGGACCAAACGGGGCUUCGGCUCCGGCGCAAAGAGAGGCCCAAGUGAGAUUAGCUAGUUGGUAAGGUAACGGCUUACCAAGGCGACGAUCUCUAGCUGUUCUGAGAGGAAGAUCAGCCACACUGGGACUGAGACACGGCCCAGACUCCUACGGGAGGCAGCAGUGGGGAAUAUUGCACAAUGGGGGGAACCCUGAUGCAGCCAUGCCGCGUGUGUGAAGAAGGCCUUCGGGUUGUAAAGCACUUUCAGUUGUGAGGAAAAGUUAGUAGUUAAUACCUGCUAGCCGUGACGUUAACAACAGAAGAAGCACCGGCUAACUCCGUGCCAGCAGCCGCGGUAAUACGGAGGGUGCGAGCGUUAAUCGGAAUUACUGGGCGUAAAGCGCACGCAGGCGGUUUGUUAAGCUAGAUGUGAAAGCCCCGGGCUCAACCUGGGAUGGUCAUUUAGAACUGGCAGACUAGAGUCUUGGAGAGGGGAGUGGAAUUCCAGGUGUAGCGGUGAAAUGCGUAGAUAUCUGGAGGAACAUCAGUGGCGAAGGCGACUCCCUGGCCAAGACUGACGCUCAUGUGCGAAAGUGUGGGUAGCGAACAGGAUUAGAUACCCUGGUAGUCCACACCGUAAACGCUGUCUACUAGCUGUGUGUGCCUUUA
rnacentral:rRNA from 1 species